AUUGAACGCUGGCGGCAGGCCUAACACAUGCAAGUCGAACGAGUGGCGGACGGGUGAGUAAUGUCUGGGAAACUGCCUGAUGGAGGGGGAUAACUACUGGAAACGGUAGCUAAUACCGCAUACCAUCAGAGGUGCCCAGAUGGGAUUAGCUAGUAGGGGGGGUAACGGCUCACCUAGGCGACGAUCCCUAGCUGGUCUGAGAGGAUGACCAUCCAGACUGGAACGGAUACACGGCCCAGCCUCCCACGGCAGGAAGCAGUGGGGAAUAUGGGUAUAUGGCAUAAAUCCAGAUGCAUCCAUGCCGCAUGUGUGAAGAAGGCCGCCGGGUGGUACAGCACUUUCAGAGGGCAGGCGGUAGCCCCAGACGAAGCACCGGCUAACUCCGUGCCAGCAGCCGCGGUAAUUC
rnacentral:rRNA from 1 species